GGGGGUGUGGCUCAGUGGUAGAGCUUUUGCCUCAUAUGCACAAAGCCCUGGGUUCGAGUCCAAGCACCACCA